rnacentral:rRNA from 1 species
GGUGAGUAACGCGUAGGAAUGUACCUAGUAGAAGGGGAUAGCCCGAGGAAACUCGGAUUAAUACCGUAUACCUCCUUCGGGAGAAAGAAGGCCUCUCUUUGAAGCUUUCGCUACUAGAUCAGCCUGCGUAAGAUUAGCUUGUUGGUGAGGUAAUGGCUCACCAAGGCUACGAUCUUUAGCUGGUCUGAGAGGACGAUCAGCCACAUUGGGACUGAGACACGGCCCAGACUCCUACGGGAGGCAGCAGUGGGGAAUAUUGGACAAUGGGCGCAAGCCUGAUCCAGCCAUACCGCGUGUGUGAAGAAGGGCUUCGGGUUGUAAAGCACUUUAAGCAGGGAGAAAAAAAUAUAGGUUAAUACCCUAUGUUCUUGAUGUUACCUGCAGAAUA